UACGUAGGGUGCGAGCGUUGUCCGGAAUUACUGGGCGUAAAGAGCUCGUAGGUGGUUUGUCGCGUUGUUCGUGAAAUCUCACGGCUUAACUGUGAGCGUGCGGGCGAUACGGGCAGACUAGAGUACUGCAGGGGAGACUGGAAUUCCUGGUGUAGCGGUGGAAUGCGCAGAUAUCAGGAGGAACACCGGUGGCGAAGGCGGGUCUCUGGGCAGUAACUGACGCUGAGGAGCGAAAGCCAGGGGAGCGAACGGG
rnacentral:rRNA from 1 species